CCUGCAUUCUGGACUGUGUGCAGCUCCUCUGCAGCAGUAUGCAGCAACCUGCAACUUCCACAAAACUUUCAGAGAUGAGGCUUAUUAUGUGCUGUUCCAGUUGUCUUCCUAGGGGUAAAUGCUACUCUUAAAGACUUGGAGCUUUACGUGAAAGAUCUGAAAAUAAACACCUCACAAAGAAAUAUCUUUUUGUGUGGCUGAGUGGUUUCUCAGAAUCACCCUCCAUGAACAAUGUAAAUGCAGCUGCUGAAGCUUGACUUCAAUGCACCCGGAAGUCAAUAAACUUUGAGAUAGAGAUUCAGGCUGCUGCUACCAGAAACUGCACAAAGGAAAGAAAAAAGGAAGACAUCUGAGUGGAAGUACAUAGACUUUGACAGGACCCCAGAGAACUCCCCCAACCCUUCUGCCAUGUGAGGACACAGGGAGAAAACAGCCAUCCAUGAACCAAAAAGAGUGGCCUCAGCGGACACCAAAUCUGCCAGGGACUUCAUCCUGGGCUUCCCAGCCUCUUCCAAUGAGAACUGGAAGGGGAGGUGACUUAUUUAUGAUCAUUUCAUCUUAAUGAUUCAUGACAAUUUCUUGAACACUUACCACGUCUGAGACAUGGAGUUACACCGUGGGGCUAAGGAGGUGACCAGGAUGAGGUCCCUGCAGUUGAAAAGUUUAUCAUCUAUCACAGUGGACAAGAUCAAUUCAGACACAUUCUUUAUGAUGUGGUAUUAGGAUGAAUUUGCAGCAUGCUGUGGAAAUAGAACAAAGGAGCCCUUGAGAAGCUAACCAGGAGAAGAAAAGGAAUAUCACACCCAUACAAAGAGACCAGCUUAGGUGUGGAUGCAAGGAAAUGCAUAGAGCUUGAGGAGUGGAAGUAGUUUGGUGCAUUAGAACAUAAAACAAAAAGAGGACAAUGACUGCAGAUGGAGAGGGUUUGAAUAUGGAAAGUUAUAGAU